UACGUAGGGGGCAAGCGUUGUCCGGAAUUAUUGGGCGUAAAGCGCGCGCAGGCGGCUUACUAAGUCUGGUGUGAAAGCCCACGGCUCAACCGUGGAGGGCCAUUGGAAACUGGUAGGCUUGAGUGCAGGAGAGGAGAGCGGAAUUCCCGGUGUAGCGGUGGAAUGCGUAGAUAUCGGGAGGAACACCAGUGGCGAAAGCGGCGCUCUGGGCCUAAACUGACGCUGAGGGGCGAAAGCGUGGGGAGCGAACGGG
rnacentral:rRNA from 1 species